rnacentral:tmRNA from 1 species
GGGGGUGAACGGUCUCGACUACGGAUGUUGAGGCAGGGGAAGCGGGCCGAGGAAGCCGGGAUGAUCUCGUAAACCAAUAACCCGUGCAAAAAAAUAAGUGCCAAUAAAACGGCCACUGAUUUCGCCCUCGCUGCAUAAGCGAGCCUUC